UAUGGGCCCUCAUGACAAUCUUG
rnacentral:miRNA from 1 species